rnacentral:rRNA from 1 species
GAUGAACGCUAGCUACAGGCUUAACACAUGCAAGUCGAGGGGUAGCAGGGUAGCAAUACCGCUGACGACCGGCGCACGGGUGAGUAACACGUAUCCAACCUUCCAUAACUCGGGGAUAGCCUUUCGAAAGAAAGAUUAAUACCGGAUGGUACUUUUUCAAGGCAUCUUGAGAAAGUUAAAGAUUUAUUGGUUAUGGAUGGGGAUGCGUUCCAUUAGAUAGUUGGUGAGGUAACGGCUCACCAAGUCUUCGAUGAAUAGGGGUUCUGAGAGGAAGGUCCCCCACAUUGGUACUGAGACACGGACCAAACUCCUACGGGAGGCAGCAGUGAGGAAUAUUGGUCAAUGGGCGAGAGCCUGAACCAGCCAAGUAGCGUGAAGGAUGGAGGUCCUAUGGAUUGUAAACUUCUUUUAUAGUAGAAUAAAGUGAUCCACGUGUGGAUUUUUGUAUGUAUACUAUGAAUAAGGAUCGGCUAACUCCGUGCCAGCAGCCGCAGUAACAC